AACAAUAGCACGGGCAUUACGCAUAUCAAUGAGGAUUCGUCCGAGAUUGCGUUUUUGCUAGUUGAAAACUAUUUAACUGACCGCUCCUGUUGGUGUUCGGAUCGGCAGGGAAUCUUUGGAAACCCACAAA
rnacentral:snRNA from 1 species